UACGUAGGGGGCAAGCGUUGUCCGGAUUUACUGGGCGUAAAGAGCGCGCAGGCGGUCGUUCAAGUCGAGUGUGAAAGCCCCCGGCUCAACUGGGGAGGGUCACUCGAUACUGAUCGACUUGAAGGCAGGAGAGGGAAGCGGAAUUCCCGGUGUAGUGGUGAAAUGCGUAGAUAUCGGGAGGAACACCAGUGGCGAAGGGACGGGUCCUGGGCUUC
rnacentral:rRNA from 1 species